UACGUAGGGUGCAAGCGUUGUCCGGAAUUAUUGGGCGUAAAGAGCUCGUAGGCGGUCUGUCGCGUCGGAUGUGAAAAUCCAGGGCUCAACCCUGGACCUGCAUUCGAUACGGGCAGACUAGAGUUCGGCAGGGGAGACUGGAAUUCCUGGUGUAGCGGUGAAAUGCGCAGAUAUCAGGAGGAACACCGAUGGCGAAGGCAGCUCGCUGGGACGGGACUGACGCUGAGGCGCGAAAGCGUGGGGAGCAAACAGG
rnacentral:rRNA from 1 species